AGAAGAUGGAGCCGUCCGUCGCGGACGGGAUCCGACUACGUUUCCCAGCGGCCCCGGAGAGGGCGGGCGGGUUUGCCGCGGCCCCCCUUCCCCCGCUCAGCGGGCUGCGGCAGGCAGGGAAGGAGGUAGCGGGGCGGGGGGGCUGCCCCCGCUCCGCCUGGGCGCCCGGCGGAGAGGGCUCCGAGCGCCUCCGGGAACGCAGGGAGCGACGGCCUGACGGAGGACCUCAGCAUCUGAACCCCACUUAAGUAUUUCUGCUGCUGUCACCAACUUGGUGUCCGAACGCUUCAGAGUGGGGUGUUCAGGGAGCCAGGCACCGAAAUACUUCGGAGGAGCAGAGAUGAUACCGUAGGCCAAGCCUGUUUUGAACUGACUCUGCCCCACUGCUUCGGGCAGGUUUCAGAGGGCAGUUGCUCGUUUUCUGAAGAUACCUGGUCAGCCUCCUCACCAGGUUCCUGAACUAGAAUCUGACAAGAAGGGCUACAAGUACUGGAAACAUGCUCUUGAUAACACAACAAAUGCAACCUUUCUCCUCUGUCAACAAUUUUAAGAUGGUAGUCCUGGGACUGGAAACUGGAAAAUACAUGAGGAGCCAGGUGAGCCAGAACCCCCAAAGAUCCUCCCUGCCCACCACAGAGGUGCUGCAGAGCUGCUGGUGGAGAGCACGCAGAGCUGCUGGUGGAGAGCACACAGAGCUGUGCUUCCACCAGAUUUUCCCUUUUGAUCAAGCCCCCAACGGAUGAAACAAUGCCUUCUUGCACAUGCAGAUAAAGGGACAGAAAAUACAUAAACCCGCACUAAGGCGUUCAGGAGCCACCUCUUUACCUUAGAGUUUCCUUCUUUAUUUCAAAAAAGGAAGUUUUAGCCUUAACGGCUCCUAAGAAAAACGUGAGACGGUGACCUGACAAUAUUAAAUACAUGGGUGUCCCCUUGAAACGAGGGUUUACCUGAAGUUCAGGUAGACACACCUCAGUGGGAUUCUGACCAAGAGAUGUACCACUCUGCAGACCCCAUCUCCUGCUAGCUGUUGAGCAGAAAAUGCAGAAGUAACAGGAGGAGAGCAGGCCCAGGCCUGGCACCGAUCGGGUGUACCCUGGCUCCCGCUGCUGGCAACCUCUAAAGGCAUCUUCUGCUCCAGGUGGAAGCAAAGAUGAAUCUCCUGAUGGGGGCAGAAAAUCCUUUGCUGCUAUUCUGCCUCUCUGGUAGAUGAGUAUCAUCUCAUUCCACGUGUCCCAGGCCAGGAAUAAGGGUAUCGGAAAGGGAGGUAGUGAUAGGUGGUUAAGUAGACGUGUGCUUACAGCCAUAGACUAAUGGUUUCUGAGAAUGUUGGUAUUUUUAAAGUAUGUAAUUUAUGGUUCUAAUCCAUUGGCAUUAGUAUUGCUUUUCAUUUCAAAUUACGUUCUUUUGGUACUUCAGUGCUUGUAGAAUACUUUCCACCGUUCCAUUGAAUUUAUUCUACUGCAUUAAAACAAAUCUCAAGGAUGAAUGACGUUAACUGUUUAUUUCAGGCAUUUAAUAAUUGUGGCCUUUCCCACCCCCAGAAAAUAGUGUUUUACAGCAGGACAGAGGUUUCUGGACUAAAUGCUAAAAGCCAGUCUGGGUAGCGCAGACACUAAGCCUUCUUGAAACCACCGGGGAAAAAAAAAGCUCCUGCAUUCUUCUGAUCUGUUGGCAGUUUCAUCCAUGAUAGCUAAACCUGGAAUUAAGGCUAAAAAACAUCCAUUGUUACUUAGUAUUGAUUUGGACUCCGGCAAAGUGCUUGGCACCAUACAGAACAAAGAAGCCAACAGAGUUAAUGACAACUCUUAACAGGAUGUGUGUUGCACUGCAAAGACAUCAAACCGGCUCACUAUGGAAACUGAAAUAAUUGGCUUGUGAAGCUUCCUGAGAAACAUACAAAGCAAACAUUUACAAAGGUUAUUGGAUGGUGUCUUCAGUUUCAUCCUAGCUAGUCUCAAAUUAGCAAACCCAUAAAACAGCUUUCUUAUUUGAUCAAAAAGUUAAGACUGUUAAAUGAAAAAUAUUGUGGAAAGCGCAUAUUAAGAAAAAAGGAAACAUUUGUCACUGGUAGGGCUUUAUAUCUGACACUGUCUAAAAUGAAGCAAGCUGUAGACAAACAUCUAUCAUUAUGUAAAAGCAAUGAUUUUAAAUGAUCAUAUUAAUGUGAGAAAAAUCUAUCAAACCUGUCCCUGGCAGAUAGAAGAGGAAACAAUACAAGGACUUCUGUGAGGCAGUUCACCACGGGCAGACCUGUUCCCUGCAGCGUCCAGUCAAGAAAGGCUGUGAUGCCUCAGCAUUGCCUUCCUCCCAGAGGCCAAGACGAUGCUUUAGCAGGUGAGGAGGGCAGUGGUCUGGGAGACCUGAAAAGGCUCUGCUCCGAACAGCCUGCUUAGAGGCUCGUAUGGAGGAUGGUUGGGAGUGCGGGGCAGACAGCAUGUGCUGGAACCGACGGCUCGCUCUCUCCUCUCAUACACGAGCAAGGGUGGUCGCGACUGGAGUUAAGGGGCCUCAGCUUCAACACGUGCCAAGAGGAUGCUUCCUAAAAAUGGCAGUAGACCUGUGGUACCCCAAAGCAUUCAGCUGAGGAUGUCAUCUGGUUGGAAGCUGCGGGAGUAGCUGGGAAAAUACUAUAUAUGCUUGUAGAGUUCUCACUCGUUUCCUUCAUACCUGGUCAUAGUUACUUUUGGAAACGAGACACUAGUUAAAAAAGACUUUUGGCACCGUUAGGUCUGUUCCAUUAUAGGUCUGUUCCAUUAUACGCUAUUCACUCUAGUUAAGUAGCUCCUAAUUUCCAAAGUGGAUCAAGGCACUGCAGCCAGUGAAGCUCUUUUUCCUUGGUGUGCUCUGAAAGAUAUAAAAAAAAAAAACCCACAGAGAUGAGAGGAGCAUCAUCAGAAAACACGCGCCCUUUGCUUGUCCUGAUGCCGGGAAGGAUGCGGGCCUCGACGGUCGGCCGGCUAAUGCCCAGGGUGCCUCACUCGCAGCAGUUCAUCUCGUUUUUGAAAAUACCCAGGUACACAGGUACG
ensembl:lncRNA